GGAUGUAAGGGUGAUCUGGCUAAAACAUCUAUCACCCCACUGAAUGACAGGCUUGAUUUGGCUGAUCUGGCUGUCUAGACAAGUGUCUCCUUCCUCCCUCACCAAUCUGUAUGUGUCCCUCCCUAAGCUGCAUGCUCAGUCAAAGAGGACCACCUUCCAGAUAGAGGCAAAUAGUUCUUUGGGCAAGAGUUACAUUCUCUUACUAGAACAAACUCCUAAGGUCCAUUUGUAAUAACGUUAAUAUUAAUAAUGAUGAGAAUAGGUGGCUUGAUAU
rnacentral:snRNA from 1 species